GGGAGGGGUGGAGAGAGAGAGACAGAAUCCGAAGCAGGCUCCAGGCUCUGAGCUGUCAGCACAGAGCCUGAUGUGGGGCUUGAACUCACAGACUGUGAGCUCAUGACCUGAGCCAAAGUCAGAUGCUUAACCCACUGAGCCACCCAGGCACCCCUCAAAUUUGCUCUUUAAAGCGGAUAUUCAGGUUCCAAAUGUGUUUCCUCUUCCUUGUCAACACUUGGCAUUUUAUUGCCCUCAUUUGUGUAAUUUUGUUAUCUUUCAGACAGGAAGGAUGAUUCAACUGAAAAUUUGUUCACAGUAUACCUCCCAUUUUCUUUUCACAACCAGCAGCCCAGGCUACCUAGUAGAUUGUACGAGAGUGAUGCCCUUCCAGGCUGAGUUCUGGGGUGGCUAGGAGCCCUGGCUGGUUGCCUCCUGAUGCUUUCAUUUUCUUCUUGGCGUACAGCUAGAGUGGAGCCGGGUCUGACAGUGUGCCCUGGAUAGAGAGUGGACUCGGGUACUCACUACUCACCUGUGUGAUGCAGAGGCUCUAUUUGUCCAUCAAGGGCAAGGAGUGUCUAUGAAGCUGUGAGAGAAGUAUGUCCCAAGUGUCCAUGGAGCAGAUGAUAGAACUGAAGCUCAAGGGAGAGUCUGCUCAUGUAGCAUUAGAGCUUAGAGUAUAAAACGUGCUGCCGCCUAGGUUAGUGCUCUACUAUACCAGCCUUCACUUGUAUGCUAUUCAUAGAUAUUAACACAUUUUUUUUGUACAUUUUGGUUACUAUUUUUGUAUUUUAAAUACAUAAACAUGUUGAUUCACUCAAAAAAGAUAUGGUUAGGAAACAAGGAAGCAGUAGGUAUAAUGACAGUUGCUUGUGAACACCAGAUUAUUCCAAGAUGAGGGAGUGCCUAGAGAAGAGUCAGUGUCUGGAAUGAGUAAGGAAAGAUAGAUGAAGGAAGAGAGCCAUUUGCUUUCUCAUAAAUGACAGCUGUUUGUCUCAGCAAGCAAGAAUAGAGAUUACAAAGCCAAACUAAAGCAAUAUAGGGACUUAUGAACUGCUUAAUACUGGCAUACUAAAGUAUUUUUGCAUCCAGUACAGGAACUGUAAAAAGUUCCUAUAUAUAGUCUAUAAAUUAAGUUUUACCGUAUCAGUAAUGUAUUCUAAAUGCAUAAUACACUUGGGUUUUGUGCUAACCAGCCUAUUGUUUGCUCUUAAGCUUGUAUUUUGCCAGUUAGUAAAACAAAACAAAACAAAAAAAAAUUAAGACGCUUCAAACUAUUUAAAACUUUUUAUGAACUAUACCCAAAUUUAAGCUUUGCUGUACCCGACUACAAUAGGAGCAACAGGAGCUAACAUGAUUAUACAUAAUAUAAGGAUUAUUGCAGUUUAUUUAACACUAAAAGUUUUCAUGCUUUGCAUACAAUAAAGUAUAUUACAAUGA